AUUGAACGCUGGCGGCAUGCCUUACACAUGCAAGUCGAACGGUAACGGGCCUUCGGGUGCCGACGAGUGGCGAACGGGUGCGUAAUACAUCGGAACGUGCCCGAUCGUGGGGGAUAACGAGGCGAAAGCUUUGCUAAUACCGCAUACGAUCUACGGAUGAAAGCAGGGGACCGCACGGCCUUGCGCGGACGGAGCGGCCGAUGGCAGAUUAGGUAGUUGGUGGGAUAAAAGCUUACCAAGCCGACGAUCUGUAGCUGGUCUGAGAGGAUGAUCAGCCACACUGGGACUGAGACACGGCCCAGACUCCUCCGGGAGGAAGCAGUGGGGAAUUUUGGACAAUGGGCGCAAGCCUGAUCCAGCCAUGCCGCGUGCAGGAUGAAGGCCUUCGGGUUGUAAACUGCUUUUGUACGGAACGAAAAGCCUUCUUUUAAUACAGGAGGGUCAUGACGGUACCGUAAGAAUAAGCACCGGCUAACUACGUG
rnacentral:rRNA from 1 species